rnacentral:lncRNA from 1 species
GCCUCCCUAGCCAUGUGGAACUGCCCUCGAUUGAUUAAAUGGUGCCCAGCCACGCUGGAUGAGGCCUGAUCUUCCUUACUCAACCUACGGAUUCCAAUGUCAAUCUGUUCUGGACUACCCUCACAGAUAUAUCCAAAAUUAAUGCUUUACCAGGUACCUGAGUAUCCUUAACCCAGUCAAAUUGACCCAUAAAGUUAACCAUCACACAGUGUUUCUCCAAUGUGUAUUAUCACAUGAGUGGUAAAAUAUGAAGAAUAAAUGAAGGAUUUUUCA